CCCAGUCCUCCAUCGACAUCGAACGCCAACAUCCCGAUGGUGAUGUAUAGCUUCAGCAAAAACACAAAGCCACUUGACUAUUUUCUUCUCUUCUAUUAUUGUCUCCCCCUUUGGCUUGUGCGCUUGUGGGAAGCCACGUGCCCAUCUUCCCUCUCGAUUCUCUCUCUUGCUUUCUGGACUGGACUCUCUUCUCAUGGCUUCGACUAUGAGUACUCUUGGUCCUUUUUCAGCGGCACAAGCCAACUCUCUCGCCCUCUCAAACAAAGCCAUGCCUGUCAUCUCUUCUUCUGUUCCUUCUCCAUCAUCCACAUUCUUCGCCGCAAGCUUCCCUAGGGUUUCUCCACCCUUGUCUUCUUCUUCUUCUUCUUCUGCCUCUUACUUUUACUCAAGGCUUAGCUCGAUUGCUCUGCGAUCCGCUGCUCCGAGGCUUGUUUGUUCUUGUUUACUUAACUCAUUGAAGGUUAGAGCAAAGGAGGAUGUGUUUCCAGGCAAGGACUCUCUAUAUAACAUGGCUAGCUCCGUUUCUUCGCGAGCAUUUCUUAAUGCUCGCACUGAGGAAGAACUUCUGUUGAGAAUCAGGAAGGAAGCAGAAGCAGGAUCUCUGCCUUCUAAUGUUGCUGCUGGAAUGGAGGAACUGUACCAUAAUUAUAAGAAUGCAAUUAUAAAAAGUGGCCAUCCCAAGGCAGACGAGAUUGUAUUGUCAAAUAUGACUAUUGCAUUAGAUCGCAUAUUUUUGGAUGUAGAGGAUCCUUUUGUCUUUGAACCACACCACAAGGCAAAGCGAGAUCCUUUUGACUACUACAUGUUCGGUCAAAAUUAUAUCCGUCCUUUAAUUGAUUUUAGAAAUUCUUAUCUUGGCAACAUUUCCCUUUUCUAUGAAAUAGAAGAGAAACUUAAGCAGGGACACAAUAUCAUCUUAGUAUCAAAUCACCAAACCGAAGCAGAUCCAGCUGUUAUUGCACUGCUUCUUGAAACGGCAUGCCCAUAUAUUGCUGAAAGCGUGACCUAUGUUGCAGGAGAUAGAGUUAUAACAGAUCCCUUGUGCAAACCCUUUAGUAUUGGCAGGAACCUUAUCUGCAUUUACUCAAAAAAGCACAUGCUCGAUGUUCCUGAACUUGUAGAGAUGAAAAGAAAAGCGAAUACAAGAAGCUUGAAGGAAAUGGCUGUGCUUUUAAGGGGUGGGUCACAGAUUGUCUGGAUUGCACCAAGCGGUGGUAGGGAUAGACCAGAUCCCCUAACAGGAGAAUGGCUACCAGCACCAUUUGAUGCUUCUUCAGUAGACAAUAUGAGAAGGCUUGCUGAACAUUCUGGUCAACCAGGUCAUAUUUAUCCUUUGACAAUAUUGUGCCAUGAUAUCAUGCCACCUCCCCAACAGAAGUUUUGCAGGUGGAAAAAGAAAUUGGAGAGAAGAGAGUUAUCUCCUUUCACGGAGUUGGAUUAUCAGUGGCUCCAGCAAUAAGCUUUUCCGAAGUCACCGUUGCUUGUGAAAGCCCAGAAAAGAGCAAGGAUGCGUAUGCACAGGCGCUUUACAAUUCUGUAACUGAGCAAUAUGCUGUGCUGAAAUCUGCCAUACAUGGCCAACAAGGAUUAGCUGCAUCAAUUCCAAAUGUCUCUCUGUCACAGCCAUGGAUUUAACCCAAAGCUGUAUCUUUUCCGAUCUCCGUUUUGAUGAUCAGGUGCAAGUGACAACACAUCGGUUUUGCGAUUCAACUAGUGCACUUCAGCACAUUUUUUCCCACGCCCAUCGGACGGGUUCGAUGGAAUUGCUGUUGAAUAAAGGUUCUUUGUGCAUAUUCAUAGCAGAAUCGCUAGAAAUCUUUGUCAUGAGCAAGGUUCAGUUUAAGCUGCAUACUGUAUAGGUCUUUUGGGUUCCGAAUCAAAUCGUGGCCUUUGGUAUAAAAAAUUUUCAUGUAAUUUAUAUUCUUUUACUCACAGCUUUGUAUUAGGCUCUCAUUUCCCUAGUUGACCAGUUUAAAGUUCAUAAUUUUGCAAAUGUAAUUUGGCGAGUUUGAGAAAAGUUCAAUUAUUUAUGAUCAUGAAUAGUGAUUUUUCAUAGAUUUUAUGUUUCCCUAGAGUGUGCCAUGUGGCAAGUGGAGCUAAGCCUGCAAACUUGUUAAUAGUA